GUGCCAGCAGCCGCGGUAAUACGGAGGGAGCUAGCGUUGUUCGGAAUUACUGGGCGUAAAGGGCUCGUAGGUGGCCAACUAAGUCAGACGUGAAAUCCCUCAGCUUAACUGGGGAACUGCGUCUGAUACUGGAUGGCUUGAGGUUGGGAGAGGGAUGCGGAAUUCCAGGUGUAGCGGUGAAAUGCGUAGAUAUCUGGAGGAACACAGGUGGCGAAGGCGGCAUCCUGGGCCAAUUCUGACGCUGAGGAGCGAAAGCCAGGGGAGCAAACGGGAUUAGAAACCCCGGUAGUCC
rnacentral:rRNA from 1 species